rnacentral:rRNA from 1 species
AGUGAACGCUGGCGGCAGGCCUAACACAUGCAAGUCGAGCGGCAGCGGGUCCUUCGGGAUGCCGGCGAGCGGCGGACGGGUGAGGAAUACAUCGGAAUCUGCCCUGUCGUGGGGGAUAACCUAGGGAAACUUAGGCUAAUACCGCAUACGACCUACGGGUGAAAGCGGGGGAUCGCAAGACCUCGCGCGACAGGAUGAGCCGAUGUCCGAUUAGCUAGUUGGCGGGGUAAAGGCCCACCAAGGCGACGAUCGGUAGCUGGUCUGAGAGGAUGAUCAGCCACACUGGGACUGAGACACGGCCCAGACUCCUACGGGAGGCAGCAGUGGGGAAUAUUGGACAAUGGGCGCAAGCCUGAUCCAGCCAUGCCGCGUGGGUGAAGAAGGCCUUCGGGUUGUAAAGCCCUUUUGUCCGGGAAGAAAUCGUCUGGGCUAAUACCCCGGGCGGAUGACGGUACCGGAAGAAUAAGCACCGGCCAACUUCGUG